rnacentral:lncRNA from 1 species
UUAGUUUCAUGGGAGGGCAGGGAUCUAGAUGUUUUUUUUGUCAAAAAUGUGAGUUUUUCCUCAUUGGAUGGUCUUGAUGUCCUUUCAGAAAGCAAUUGAACACAGAAGUAUGGGCUUAUGUCCAGACAUAAUCUCACGGGGUUACAGCUGGUCUUUUGCUGUUGUACUGUUUUUGCUAUAACUGUGAUUUAUAAGUCUUUUGACACUGUUCUUCUUAAGGAUUGUUUGGGUUAUUCAAGAGUCUCUGCAAUUCCAGCUGGACUGGAAGUUGGCUUUUCAUAUUCUGCAUAAAAGGCUGUUUGGAUGGACUUAGGGAUUGCUCUUCUUUCUGACCCCAUUUAGUAAGUGCUCUUACAAUUACACAGUGAGUGGUUAACUGAUCAUUGGUUCUUGUGAGUAACAAGAAAUUGACUUCAUUUCUAUUCAUUCCUUUACUUUGUAAGAGUUUGCUAUGUGGGGGAAUACAGAGCUAGUUCAGCAGUUAGGAACACUGGCUCCUCUUCCAGAGGUUUCAGGGUCAGUUCCCAACACCAACAUGCUGGGAACAUGCCGGCUCUCAGGUACUUCUGGUUCAGUGCCAGAGAAUCGGAUGCCUGACCUUUGUGGGCACUCCACACAUGUGGUGCACAUAGGUACAUGCAGGCAAAACACACAUAUACAUAAAAUACAUCUAAAAAAUGUUUAAGGAAUUUACUAUGUGGGAGCAUCUUGCUGUAUUAAUGAUAAAAUAUUUUCCAAUGCCUAUCAAACAAGUAGCUGUUUCAGAAUUAAUUGAUUUGAUCUAGAAGAGAGCAUCUUUCCAGAUAUCAUGAAAAUUUAAAGAUAGAAAAUGUUAUACCAAGUCAGAGCCACAGAGCCACAGCCUUCCCUUUAUGUGAAGGCUAAUGUCUGUGAUGCAGAAAAAGUGACGCAGGAUGCUCAGAAAGAGAAGGUGGCAUAUGCAGAGACCAGUAAGCAGUUUACUGAGUAGCCUUUACCAAAUAGAGACAAGAAGGAAAAGAGUUUAGAAUUCUGAAUUGGUAUGUUUUAAUAAGGAAUGGAAAGUCACUGAAGGUCUUGAGCAAGAAUAUAGUCUUUGAGCAAGAACGUGAUCUGAGUUGUGCUAAUAGUGAGCUAGGAUACUUUGGGAGGAGACACUGCAAAGAAACUGGUUUGAAAUAAUCUAGACAAGUGACAAUAGGAUAUGAAUCAAGCAUUAAAGCUUUAGUUUUGAUACUGAAGUGCAGUGACAGCAUUUGGAAAUUAUGGAUAAUAGUGAAUCAAAUCAAAAUGGAGUUUCUGGCACAAUAACCCUAAGGAUGCAGUAGUGGCAUAAAUACCUUAGUGGUAACCAACAGCUCUCCAACUGGACUUAAGACAGGUUCAACAAGAAGGAAACCACGAGUAAUGUUAGAAACCUAAUUAACUAUUUAGCUAGUGAGGUCUUAGAGAAUCCACAACCACCCACUUUACUAAACCAGCAUGAACACUUACUACAUUCUAAUUAUUUAUCCUUAUAUCACAGAUAAACGUCCUCACCCUUCAUCAACAUAGAGACACCAUUACAGAAAACUACAACCAAUCAAAAUGCAGAGUUGCAGAGUCCAGUCCCAAUAGAUAAAUCUAGAAAACAAGUCUAGCACUUACAGUCUCAGAGAACAUUGCAAAAGAGAGGGAAGGAUUGUAAGGUCAGAGGAGUUUGCUGUGAGAUUGUGUCUUUUAUAGUUUUUAUAAACUAUAAAAAUCUCACCAAUGUAAUUGCCUAAAAAUGAGCCGAGCAAGGACAAGUACAAUAGACAUGCCAAAGUGGGUAGGGGAAAAACACAGGGCCUCAACCCUAUACAAAGAACUGUGGGCAACUUAGAAAUGGUUAGAGCUGGAGAUAUAGUAUUCCCCAAGGAACAGCACACCAAUUGAUUAUAGCCAUCCCUUGAAACAUACAUAUUAGUUACAGUAUAUAGACUGAGCAGGUUAUAUUUAGAAAUCUAUAUGUAUAUACAUAACGUAGGCAACAGCAAUCAAUGUCAAAAGAAGCCAUGGAUUUGAAAGAGAGCAAGGAGGGAUACAUGGAAGGGUUUGGAGGGAGAAAAGAGAAGGGAAAAAUUAUGUGGUUACAUUAUAAUC